CCAGCAGCCGCGGUAAUUCCAGCUCCAAUAGCGUAUAUUAAAGUUGUUGCAGUUAAAAAGCUCGUAGUUGGAUUUGUGGUUUGUGGUGGGUUCCGGGCACUUGUUGUCUGAGUAACUCGCCGCUGCCAUCCUUGGGUGGAACCUGUGUGGCAUUAGGUUGUCGUGCAGGGGAUGCCCAUCGUUUACUGUGAAAAAAUUAGAGUGUUCAAAGCAGAAUAUAUUAGCAUGGUAAUAAGAUAGGACUUUGUUGCUAUUUUGUUGGUUUGCGCAACGAGGUAAUGAUUAAUAGGGACAGUUGGGGGUAUUCGUAUUCCAUUGUCAGAGGUGAAAUUCUUGGAUUUUUGGAAGACGAACUACUGCGAA
rnacentral:rRNA from 1 species